CUUGGAGUCUGAAGAAGCGGCAAAAGAAGUGGGAGACAUAUUGGACUUAAUUGAAGAACGAGAGCGACAGAUACAGGCACAUUACAAUGGUUUAUGCAAAGGCUGUUUGGCUUGAGGGUCACAAACAGUUUGAGGGUGUCAUCCCAAAAAACUGGAUAUAGGAAGAAGGAAAUGUUGUGCGAUGGCCAAAGAAAAGUGUGCAUUCAGCCCAUAAAAAAAGGACCCAGACGAUGACUGGAACACAUUCCCACUUGUGAAAAUAAAGACAAUAUCAGACAAUGAGAAAGAUUGUGAAGACUAUAACUACACUUCAUCAGCCCAAACUGACCAUGAGGGUUCCACCAUCGUGCUAGAAGAAAUCAGGAAGAGACAUGUAAAGAAGAGGACAUAUGAUUUUGUUGACGAUAAGGAUACAGGUUUGCAUGCAUAUCCAAAGCCUCCUAAAAUCCAGAAGAACGAAUUUGCUUCUGCUACCAUCGAUCAAACCACUCCUAAGGAAUCCACCAUGGAUAAUGACGUGUGUACUUGGACUAGACGGCUGCCAAAUUCAUCCAGAGGAUGCUGAAAGUGAACAUGACAGCAGACAUGUUACAGCAUUUUCCUGUCUUCCUGUUCCACACAUGCCAUCUUGGUGUUACAGGGUUGUCAAGGUCAAGGGAGCGUUCCAACUCCCCCCGAUCACCAAUCAAGUCAUGGAAGUGAUGGAGGAUAUUCCACUUCUUGUUCUCAGUCAUCAGUGGGCUCAACUCCCAGACGCUCAUCUUCCAGAUAUGGGCAGUCCUGCUCUAGAAGGAAGCGUCCCAACUCUUCCAAUCACCGAUCAAGCCAUCAAAGUCCUACACCUUCCACUCUAGGACACUCAACAUCCAGACAUGGCUGAUGACAAACUCCCUGAUGUCUUCAUUCAAUAUGUAGGGUCACGGUUCCAAAAGGGCAUUCCAACCGACAGAACUUUACGCCAUUGUGACAGCUGCUGUCAAAAGGUGGGACAACAAAGCCACAGACCAUGAAAUUUCACGUACUAUGGCAGACCAUUUCAAACAUGGUCCUGGGCGGUGGUGGAGGCUAUCUUAAAAAAUAAAACAGUGCAGCAUUGACGAGGAAACAUCAGGGAGGAACUUUGGUUGUUUGAGUUCAUCGGUCUACACUAGUUUUGGCCCUGAUCAGUUGUGAUAUGAGAUGGAAACAUUUCACUUUAUGUACAGUAUUAUCUACAGUCAUGACUGUAUUGAAGUCCUUUAUAUCAUGUUCUUCUGGAUAUAAGAGUUUGUUGUUGUCCAUGUGAGAAUAGUAAAUGUUUUAUUGAUAUAUUUUUUUGUUAAAUUGUCUUGUUUUUUUUAAAGGGUUAAAAUUCUGUCCUAAAUUUGUGAUUAUUUAUAAUUAAUUCAUGUUUAAUUUAGACACCAAAGCAAUGUCUUCAUGGAGACGUCUUUUCCAGCAACCUGAAAAAGACGGCUUUUCAACCAAAUUUGGACCGCAAAGGGACGUCUUCAUGGAGAGACGUCUUUUCAACGAUCUGAAAAAGACAGCUUUUCACCUUUCACUUUUCAACCAAAUUUGGACCGCAAAGAGACGUCUUCAUGGAGACGUCUUUUCAACGUCCUGAAAAAGACGACUUUUCACUUUUCAACCAAAUCUAAACGUUUCAACGCAUGGUCAUGUCUUUUCAACGUCUUUUCAACCAAUUUUUGCUGGGUGGGACAUAUUUAAAAUCUUUAAUUUGGAUAAUUGAUAGUUGUGUAACUACAGCUUGUUAAAUUUUGCUUAUUCCAACACAAGAAAUGCAACCACAUUGAAAUAUAAUGUUGAAUAAUUGCGUUCAUAAUGAGCAGACAAAUGCUUGAACCAUACAGCUCACAGAUCUUUACUAUGCAGCUUCUUAAGAGUAGGUAGAGUUCAGCUGCUUCAUCAGGUGUGAAUGGCGCAUGCAGAAAGUUGUCUGCCAUCAGCCGGCAAGAUCGUGUGAACACUGUCUCAUCAUAUGGAUAAGGUCCUCGAUGUAUACACUGUGCUUUGCAGUCUUCUCUGAUACAUGCCUCAGAUGAUCUUGGCCGCUAGACCUCCACUAGGGCAGACCAUAAUCUAAAUUUAAAAAAUCCUGAAUCCAAAUGGUAAUUUUGAUUAGUGGGGAAAUGUAAUAAAUUCUUCCUUGUUAUUCCUGACCUUCCCUCAAAGUUUCAGCCAAAUUCAUUCAGUACUUUUUGUGCAAGGUUGCUCACAGCACGCACAGACUCACCAAUACAACUGAAAACAUAACCUCCUUGGUGGAGGUAAUAAAGUACUAAUAGUUACCAGUCACUCAAGUAAAUAAUACGACAUGACAUCAGAUGAGUUUACUUUAGCUCCUCAACCAAUCAUCCAUUGUUACCUCAGCCAAGGAGGUUAUGUUGGUGAGUGUGUCUGUCUGUGUGCGUGUCUGUGUGUGAGCAACUUCACACAAAAACUACUGCACAGAUUUGGAUAAAACUUUCAAGCAAGAUCAAUAACACACAAGGAAUAAUUUAUUCCAUUUUCAAACUGACCGGGGUUACCGACUGGAUUCAGGAAUUGUUUAAAUGUUGAGGUCUGUUACCUGCCUUGGCAGAGCUCUGCACUCUCUGACUGUUUUCACUUAUUUUCAGAGAAAAAAAAUGUACAUCUGCUUUGACACAAUUGGUGUAAUUUGUUUAAACACGACUAUCUAUGUAUAGACCAUUGGUUCUCAAAUUGUGGUGCGGGUACUGGUGGUACAUGGGCUCUCUGUGGUGGUACUCAGACAACCUGGGUUAGUCGUAGUGUAAUUCUAGAUCUGAUUUCAUACUUGUUUACAACUGGAUUAUGUGUAUGUUCAGCUCCAGUUUGGACAUGAUUUGGACGUCCUAAAAAAUCUGAUGAAGACAAAAUUUUGUGGUUGUGGGUUAGUCCUAGGUGGUACUUGGGACACCAAAUAUUUAUAGAGGUGGUACUUGGUGUAAAAAAUAUAACCACCAGUCUAAACAAUUUGUCACAAGACUUAAAAUGUGCACAUACACACCUAAAUGAUAUUCAGACAGGUGAACAGAACCAGCUGUCACCAAUGAAAUAAUCAGAAUCCUUCAAUUUCUGAAAGUGGUUAAUCCAGAACUGGCAAUGAUGUUUCCUGAAAAAAACCCACCAGCUCUCCAUACAUUGGUUGUGAGUGCUUGAGCCAUUGAUGAAGCAAUUCCUUGCAUGAGAGUCAUUGUGUUCGAGGCGUAAAAACCGCUGCAUGUCCUCCAUAGUCAUAUUCUCUGAAUUCUGGCUGCUGUGGCCCCCCCCCCUUUGUUCAACCUCUGAAAUAAAAUAUCCAGCAAUAAAUCUAGGAUUGCUGUUGGUUGAGUCUGCAUGAAGCCAGAUUAUCAUCCUAGAAAAUCCAUUCACAGCACCAUUAAUACAAAUACCAUAUAGUUUGAAUUUAUCAUAGGACUCUACAUGCCACAUAUAUAAUUAUAUGUGGCAUAUAAUUAUAUAUAAUAUAAUCGCCGUCUUAGACGAUUUACAACCUGGGGAUCCAAAAUAACAACAAUAACAAACAAUAACCAAUGUCUUAUUGAGUUCUGGGUGACAAUAAAUCCCUCCUGCAGGCACCGGAGGUGGUGUAGUUUGCAUCCUUGAAGUUGUCCAUGUGUUUGCAAUUGGCCCAUAAGAUACAAUGCAAAAAUGUCACUUUGUUUUUUUCUCUGAAAAAGUCCCAUUCUUGACAAAAUCCUUCUUCAUGUCGGAAUGCUCAUGACGACGCCAUCAACAGUACUAAGUGAAAGCAAUAUUUCGUUGUGAUUGGACCAUAAUAUGACUUAAUGAGAUCAUAGAGGUCUAUUGAGCUACUCUUUGUCUGUAUGUAUAUAAUUAAACAAUUGCCACGAUCUGUGGUGUAGCCUGUGUGACAUCUUGUUUAAUUUCUCGGUUUAUGCCUUAGUUUUGGUUUUAUGCUCUUAUUUUGGUAGCUCUUCCCGUUUUGCUUGGUUUGUGUCCGCCUGCUUUGCUUUUUUUCUUCAUCACUUGCACCUGUUGGUAA